AUUGAACGCUGGCGGAAUGCUUUACACAUGCAAGUCGAACGGCAGCACGGGGGCAGCCCUUGUGGCGAGUGGCGAACGGGUGAGUAAUACAUCGGAACGUGCCCGGUCGUGGGGGAUAACGUAGCGAAAGUUACGCUAAUACCGCAUACGAUCUGAGGAUGAAAGCGGGGGACCUUCGGGCCUCGCGCUAUCGGAUCGGCCGAGGUCAGAUUAGGUAGUUGGUGGGGUAAAGGCCUACCAAGCCGACGAUCUGUAGCUGGUCUGAGAGGACGACCAGCCACACUGGAACUGAGACACGGCCCAGACUCCUACGGGAGGCAGCAGUGGGGAAUUUUGGACAAUGGGCGCAAGCCUGAUCCAGCCAUUCCGCGUGCAGGAAGAAGGCCUUCGGGUUGUAAACUGCUUUUGUACGGAACGAAAAGGAUCUGGCUAAUACCUGGGGCUCAUGACGGUACCGUAAGAAUAAGCACCGGCUAACUACGUG
rnacentral:rRNA from 1 species